CGCACUACAUCCGUUGUGAGCACGACGACGUUCAUUUUGUGUUUGUUUUGUGUAUCGUAGCGACGCAGUCCUGCCAAGACAAGGAUGUCAGGAAUGCUGUUCGGGGGACUGAAAAACCCAAAUCCCCUGCCAGAGGCGGGAGACGGGUGAGACGACGUUUUGUUCUUUCCUGGUGCAGCGCCUAUCUUGCCCCAGGUUGUCCCGAGGUGUGCGAAUUGAUUAGCGCUCCCAGUCGGUUUUUGAUAUGUGCUUUUGGGGAGGGGAGGAAGAAGUGCGUCAUAAGUCGGUAAAACAUGUCUUCCCGCCUCACGCAUUUUUGUUUUUGAUGCCGGUUUGGGAGGAAGGAAGUUAUUGGCUUGCUGCGACUUUUGGCUUACCAUUGUCAACCUCCCUAGCCGAUGGCUUAUUUGCGCAACCAAUUUGCCUUGUGUCCUUCCUCCUCCCCUCUAUCCAUCCUUCUCCAGAUUCUCCUGUGUUCUGAAUAGCAGCGGGAGGACAAGAGUUUUGAUGAGGCGACGGCUAAAAGCUGCAGAAGACUCUUUGUCACAACCUUGGAGGGGAAGAUAUGCUGUUAUGCUUCUCUUUUGGCAUGCUUCUCUUUUGGCCACGCCUUAUGCAUAAGACUUAAGUGCUGGCCUGCUGAGGAGUUUGGAGUCUGCUGAGGAUUUUGUUUGUGCUGAGCGGCAACGCGAGCUAACGGUAGGCUCAGGCCCAUGCAGGAUCGAUCGAAGUCCAGGAUAGCAAAUUAUAUCUUUCGUAAAUCCGUGCGACGAUUUUUUGGCAC
rnacentral:lncRNA from 1 species